GACGAACGCUGGCGGCGUGCUUAACACAUGCAAGUCGAACGGAAAGGCCCCUUUGUGUGUGCUCGGUUUGCGAACGGGUGGGUAACACGUGUGUAACCUGCCUAUCCUUUCGGGUUAUCUUGAGUAACCUGGUGCUAAUACCGGUUAGGAAUCCUUGCUUCGUGGUGGGGGUUGGUAAGCUUCGGCGGUUUUUGGUGUACUUGCGGCUUGUCAGCUUGUUGGUUGGGCUGUGGCUUGCCGAGGUUUUGACGGGUAGCCGGGCUGAGAGGGCGACCGGCCACAGUGGGAACGAGAAACGGACCAGACUGCUACGGGAGGCAGCAGUGGGGAAUAAUGCAGAAGGGGCGAAAGCCUGAUGCAGAAGCGGCGCGUGCGGGAGGAAAGCCUUUGGGUUGGAGAACGAGUUCAGCAGGGGCGAAGCGUGUGGUGACGGUACCUGCAGAAGAAGCACCGGCUAACUACGUG
rnacentral:rRNA from 1 species